rnacentral:rRNA from 1 species
UACGUAGGCAGCGAGCGUUGUUCGGAAUUACUGGGCGUAAAGAGUGUGUAGGCGGUGCUCUAAGUCUGUCGUGAAAUCUCCCGGCUUAACUGGGAGGGUGCGGCGGAAACUGGUGUGCUGCGAGGGUGGGAGAGGUAAGCGGAAUUCCUGGUGUAGCGGUGAAAUGCGUAGAUAUCAGGAGGAACACCUGCGGUGUAGACAGCUUACUGGACCACUUCUGACGCUGGAGACACGAAAGCGUGGGUAGCAAACAGG